CUGGGCGUAAAGAGCGUUGAGCCGGUUUCCGUAAGUUGAGCGUGAAAGCUCCGAGCUUAACUCGGAGAUGUCGUUCAAUACUGCGGGGCUUUGAGGACAGCAGAGGAAGGUGGAAUUCCCGGUGUAAUGGUGAAAUGCGUAGAUAUCGGGAGGAACACCCGUGGCGAAGUCGGCCAUGCUGGGCUGUUCCAGACGCAGAAGGCGAAAGCUAGGGGAGCGAACGGGAUCAGAUACCCCGGUAGUCCUAGCCGUAAACGAUGGAUCCUGGCUCUGGGGGCUGUCAAUUCCCUCUGUGCCGGAGCACACGCGUUAAGCAUCCCGCCUGGGGAAUACGCCCGCAAGGCUCAAACUCAAACGAAUUGACGGGGGCCCGCACAAGCAGCGGAGCGUGUGGAUUAAGUCGAUGUUACACGAAGAACCUUACCUGGGUUUGACAUAGCAAGUGGUAAGGGAACUGAAAGGGGACCGACCUUUGGGAGCGUGGCACAGGUGUAGCAUGGCUGUAGUCAGCUCGUGCCGUGAGGUGUCGGGUUUAAGUCCCGUAACGAGCGCAACCGUUGCCGUUAGUUACAAGUGUCUAAAGGGUCUGCCCGGGACAAUUGGGAGGAAGUUGGGGAUGACUGUCAAGUCAGCAUGGCCUUUAUAUCCAUGGUGCUACACACACGAUACUAUGGCCCGGUACUAUACGUUGCCGAAGUCGUGAGACGGAACCAAUCCUCUAACCCUGGUCUCAGUUCCGAUUGCAGUACUGCAACUCAGAACUGCAUGAAGCUGGAGUU
rnacentral:rRNA from 1 species